UAUGCACCGGUGUGGUCACUCAGCCUGGCCUGCACCCUCUAGCAAUCCGGGACCCCUUGGGGGAUGUUGGAGAGCCAGUUUUGGCCCAAUCCCUGCAGGCCAGGCUGAGGGACCCCACCGGUGCACA
rnacentral:pre_miRNA from 1 species